AGACAGCAUGCAGAAGAGCUGAAGCAGUUGAAAACUAAAUCUACCUCCUUAUGUGUGUGCUGAAAUGACCCAGUGGGGACUUGGACCAGCUCUCAGCUUUGCUCCAGUCUACCCUCAUUAGGACUGGAUCGAUGCAGUGUCUGGCUGGCUUUUCACAGGCGUUUUGCAGUGCGGCUCAGUGCUAUGCCUUCUCAGCCCAUAUCUGGCAAUGAAGACCCAGGUGGAGAAAUACCUGUCUUACAUCCUCUGUCAGGACUCAGAUCAGGUCAAAACACCAUCAGUGUCAAAGGUCACAGUGAUUGUAAUGAAGAUGCAAUGGCCAGUCUUAAAGAAUGGGGGGAGUAUUCCUAGGGAAGAAAGGAGUCAACACCAAGGCCAGGAUGCAAGUUUAUAUAACAGCAGAACAUGCUGUUCAGCAACCACUCAAAGAUAACACGCCUGCCACAUAUCUGCUAUGCUCGGUGCCUGGGAUCCAACCGAAUGCAUGGUGUCACCUUCCAUGCAAAACAGGUGAAUCCAAAC